rnacentral:rRNA from 1 species
AUUGAACGCUGGCGGCAGGCCUAACACAUGCAAGUCGAGCGGAUGAAGGGAGCUUGCUCCUGGAUUCAGCGGCGGACGGGUGAGUAAUGCCUAGGAAUCUGCCUGGUAGUGGGGGAUAACGUCCGGAAACGGGCGCUAAUACCGCAUACGUCCUGAGUGAGAAAGUGGGGGAUCUUCGGACCUCACGCUAUCAGAUGAGCCUAGGUCGGAUUAGCUAGUUGGUGGGGUAAAGGCCUACCAAGGCGACGAUCCGUAACUGGUCUGAGAGGAUGAUCAGUCACACUGGAACUGAGACACGGUCCAGACUCCUACGGGAGGCAGCAGUGGGGAAUAUUGGACAAUGGGCGAAAGCCUGAUCCAGCCAUGCCGCGUGUGUGAAGAAGGUCUUCGGAUUGUAAAGCACUUUAAGUUGGGAGGAAGGGCAGUAAGUUAAUACCUUGCUGUUUUGACGUUACCAACAGAAUAAGCACCAGCUAACUUCGUG